AUGGUCGUCGGGGUCGUCGGCGUCGGUGAUGCAGCACCCGCGCAGCGGCACCAGGUUCCGGUGCCGGAAGUGGCUGAUGAUCUCCACCUCGUUGGCGAACUCGUCGUCCCCGCCGUCCACGUCCGGGUCCAGCAUCUUCUUGACGGCGACCACCGACCCGUCCGCGAGCACGCCGCGGUACACGACGCCGAACCCGCCGCGGCCGAUGAUGUUCCGCUCCGCGAACCCGCCGGUCGCCCUCGCCAGCUCGCGGAUGUCGAACAGCACCGAGCCGGUGUUUGGUCGCUGCCGCGACGGCCGCCGCUCGUCGGACAAACCGCGGUUCCUGCCGCUGAUGCCGUCGUGCCGCUUCGUCCAAACGAGCAGCGCUAUGAGGGAGACGAGGAGGACGGAUGCGAUCGGGAUGACGGUUGCGACUGCGAUGUUGGUGUGGGUAAUGGAGCUGGAGGCAUUCGAGGAUGCGGGGGAUGGGGUGGAGAGAGCGAGGCCGAAGGCGCAUGCGGCGGUGGCAGGGGAGGUGGGGCCGGCGGAGUUGGACACGCCGGCGGCGUAGAGGGCGGUGAGGUAGAAGCAGUUGAGGGAGUUGGAGGCUUUGCCGGCGGCAGCUGUGAGUCGAGCCAAGGCAUGGAUUCCGGCGGCGAGGCAGGCGUAGCAGAAGGACGUGUCGGUGAGGUUGGAGCCGCAGGAGGAGUUGAGUUCCCCGGCAGCCACAUCACCGACGGUGGCGACGUACUGCGCGGCGGUGGUGACCCCGGCGCAGUAGGACGGGGAGAUGGCGAACUGGGACGGGACGGGGAAGCAGGCUGGCGCGAGGGAGCGCGGGAGCGAGAGCGGCGGCGAGGCGAGCGCGUCGGAGAAGGCGCGGAUGCAGGCGGCCGAGGCCGGCGGGGACGGGAGGCGGAAGAGGCCGGUGGCGCGCAGGCGCGCGGCGAGGCCGAUGCCGAGCACGGAGAGCAGGGUCAUGCAGCAGGCGGUGACGUUGGAGACCGGCGGCGCGCACGGCGCGCGGUCCCACGGGAACGUGCGCACGUAGCCCAGGUCGAGCGGGCACGGCGGCGGCGGCUUUACUUCCCCCGCCGCCUGGCGCAGCGCCAGCGCGGCGACGAGGAGGAGCCGGAUAAGGCCCGCGACGGUCGCCAUUGGUUUCGGCGGACGAACAAGCGCCAGAGCGCGAACAAAAGGUGCGAACCGAAUCGACCGAUCUAG
rnacentral:rRNA from 1 species